rnacentral:rRNA from 1 species
AGGUCUGCUAAUACCGCAUGUGGUCCGUUCCCGGCAUCGGGAAGGGUCUAAAGAUUUAUUGCUUCCGGAUGGGCUUGCGGCCUAUCAGGUAGUUGGUGGGGUAACGGCCUACCAAGCCGACGACGGGUAGCUGGUCUGAGAGGACGAUCAGCCGGAUUGGGACUGAGAUACGGCCCAGACUCCUACGGGGGGCAGCAAUUAGGAAUCUUGCGCAAUGGGCGAAAGCUUGACGCAGCGACGCCGCGUGCGGGACGAAGGCAUUCGUGUCGUAAACCGCUUUUGUGGGGGAAGAAGCAUGUGACGGUACCCCACGAAUAAGCCCCGGCUAACUACGUGCCAGCAGCCGCGGUAAUACGUAGGGGGCGAGCGUUGUCCGAAGUUACUGGGCGUAAAGCGCGCGUAGGCGGUUCUCUAAGUCUGAGGUGAAAGGUUCAGCGCUCAACGUGAACAGUGCCUUGGAGACUGGAG